rnacentral:rRNA from 1 species
CUGGAUACUCCUCUAUUCCUGGAAUGGAUUGAGGUACAAACGCUCCGGCGCUAUAGGAUGUGGCUGCGGCCGAUUAGGUAGACGGUGGGGUAACGGCCCACCGUGCCAAUAAUCGGUACGGGUUGUGAGAGCAAGAGCCCGGAGACGGAAUCUGAGACAAGAUUCCGGGCCCUACGGGGCGCAGCAGGCGCGAAAACUUUACACUGCACGACAGUGCGAUAAGGGGACUCCGAGUGCGUGGGCAUAGUGCCCUCGCUUUUGUGAACCGUAGGGAGGUUCACGAAUAAGAACUGGGCAAGACCGGUGCCAGCCGCCGCGGUAACACCGGCAGUUCGAGUGAUGACCGAUUUUAUUGGGCCUAAAGCGUCCGUAGCCGGCCAGGCAAGUCUGUUGGGAAAUCUGCUCGCUCAACGAGCAGGCGUCCAGCGGAUACUGUUUGGCUCGGGACCGAGAGACUCAAGGGGUACGUCUGGGGUAGGAGUGAAAUCCUGUAAUCCUGGACGGACCGCCGAUGGCGAAAGCACCUUGAGAGAUCGGAUCCGACGGUGAGGGACGAAAGCUGGGGUCACGAACCGGAUUAGAUACCCGGGUAGUCCCAGCUGUAAACGAUGCCAGUUAGGUUUGGCGCGGGCUACGAGCUCGUGCUGUGCCGCAGUGAAGACGAUAAACU